AGGCGAAAAAAUGCCCAGGACGAAUCCGCAUUGUCCUGGGCCCAGGGGAAUGGCUCAUGAUGAGCCGUGCGCUAACUAAUAAACUUUACACAUUCAUACGGGAGAAGCGAAAGUUCUUAUAAUUGUAGUUAACGCCGGGCAAAAAUGGAAAUA
rnacentral:sRNA from 1 species